UUGUAUCCACUCUUAUAUCUACUCUUUAUCAGAUACGAUAAAAGAAAAGACACGCGUAUAUUUUAUAGAUUCGUGCGAAGAAGAUGACGAUAAUCGCUAAUUAUUUACCCUGCAACGGAAGUAGAAUAGUAACGAAGAAAUGUGAAAAAGAUCACAAGUGGGCCUUACUCGGCGAUUCUCGUUGGCCCCAGUGGCGCCAUCUAUGGCCCAAGAACUCCUUAUUUGGUCCUCCUCGUAUACGAAUCCUCUAUACCCGCUCUUGUAACAAAAUUUUAUUUUCUAUUCGAUUCCUACCAACGAAACAAUUCGUCGAUCCCAUUUCUUCGUUUAAAGUUUCGCGCAAACGAUCGUACCUGCUUCUCUCUAUUCCUCAAUUAUAACAAAUCUUUAAACAAAUCGUAAAAUCCGUUCUCGAAGCAUUCCCACGGAAAUAUUGACCCAAUUCGGCCGUCGUCGAUCCGAUCGCGCGCGUAUGACGCGACGUCGGCGUCGUGACUAAAAAGAAGAAAGUAGAACAAAGUGACGGGUGUUUGUUUCAUUCGCCGCGUCUGAAUAGAUAACAGAAAAAUCCGUGGGGGCGACCGCUGUCAUACGGGAGUUUUUAUAUCGCCGUCCAGAACUUUCCGAUUGCGUCCGCGAAAAAACGAGUGGUCGUAAAGAGACGGAUUUUCCGUGGAUCCCGGCGAAUUUUAUAACGCUGGGAGGGGGGGAGGUGGAUCCGUGUAAGCACGUUUCCCUCUUGAGUUCUUACCAACUCGUAAUACACUACGCUUUUAUGUCUCGACGUUUUAUUUGUCUAAAAAUGACGCGGCGCGAUCGUCGUGUACGAGAGAGUAUAAAAUUCGAGCAUAAAUUUUUCAUCGGUGUACCGGUGGUACGAUGUUCACGGAUCGACGUGGGUGGAUCGAGUCUCGAUAAUGUUAAUAAAACAGUUCUUUAUUUGACAUUCGGACGCUCGAACACUCGACAAUAAUAAUAAUAAUGAU